GACGAACGCUGGCGGCGUGCCUAAUACGUGCAAGUCGUGCGGACCUUGUUGAAAGCUUGCUUUUAAAAGGUUAGCGGCGGACGGGUGAGUAACACGUGGGCAACCUGCCUGUAAGACUGGGAUAACGCCGGGAAACCGGGGCUAAUACCAGAUCGUUUUUUCCUCCGCAUGGAGGAAAAAGGAAAGGCGGCUUCGGCUGCCACUUACAGAUGGGCCCGCGGCGCAUUAGCUAGUUGGCGGGGUAAUGGCCCACCAAGGCAACGAUGCGUAGCCGACCUGAGAGGGUGAUCGGCCACAUUGGGACUGAGACACGGCCCAAACUCCUACGGGAGGCAGCAGUAGGGAAUCUUCCGCAAUGGACGAAAGUCUGACGGAGCAACGCCGCGUGAGUGAAGAAGGCCUUCGGGUCGUAAAACUCUGUUGCCGGGGAAGAACAAGUGCCGUUCGAACAGGGCGGCGCCUUGACGGUACCCGGCCAGAAAGCCACGGCUAACUACGUG
rnacentral:rRNA from 1 species